CUGCAGAGGUAUAAUCAAUUGGACAGCGUGUUUGUUUAAUAUUAUGUUUGUCUCUCAUUUGAUCAGAUUGCUUUACCCUGAGGUAAACUUCAUGAAAUGGGUCCAGUGCAAGACGUGCAGGGGCUGGCUGCAUCAGGAUUGUGCUGGGAUUGAAAUUGAGCCGUUUGACUGCAGGUGCGAGGACUCCAUUGAGCAUCCUCGGUAUAACAUAAUUUAUCAAGGAAACAUAGUAUCAGUCAAAAAUACGAGGCUCAAAGGAUGAAAAAAUGAGGGCUUGCUCUUUUUCUUAUUUCUCUGCAGGAUCAAGGAUGCUGUUGACAGUGGAGGAAUUCAUGCUGUCUUUUCUAAGACACAGAUCAAGGUUGCUUUUGAAUGCACUAUCAGUUGUUAAAGCCACCGUUUCUUUUUCAGAUGAUUACAUUUUUGUCUCUUGCUCUUUGGUUUCAGACAUUACAUGAUGAUCUACUGUCUGGAAAGAUCCGCUCCAAUAGAAUGUUCCUUUGGAGGAAUCCCGCCACCUCACUCCGACUAAAGCAGCACCUUAAGAUAAGGACAUUAAGUUGGAGUGAGCAGCGCGUAAGUAAAAAUGCCAUCCAUCAUGAGUAUUUUUACUCUCAGAGGUGUUACAUUUGAAAGGUGUUUACUUUGUGUGUUUUUCUUCAAUAGAUGUUCGAGCUCCUGCGGUUCAUUGAGGAGGCAACAACCAUUUCUAAAAAAAUAAAGAGAGGCGAGAUUCAUCUGCUUGAUUUCGUUUUUGAUGUCAUGCUCCCAGAGGUGAGUAGAUCAAACUAUAUAGCUUGCUUUGAAAAUUGAUGAUAUUGUUAAGAGGUUGUUCUUAUUCAUUUGGAAAGCUCAAGAACAACAAUUAACCCAUACUGCAUAACUUCAAUUGUUCACAUUAUUUGACUGUAUUUCAGCUUUUGAUCAAAGCACUUCAGGAGCAUGGCAUCACCCGGUUAAGAGCAGAGCUGAUGAUGGCCUGUGGCAACGUAUUUUAAGCCCCCCACCACACCGACGGCAGUGCUCUGAAUUUUGUAUAUAUAUAUAUUUUUUUUACUGUUCACAAUUUUGUUUGGAAAACAUUAAAGAAAUCUUCAAAGCAGUUGUAUGACAAUUUCCCAUUUCUUUACACAGUCUGUAAUGAUAUCGCUAUUCAAUUGUUUUUGCUAUAUGGCUCUUCUGAACCUUAAAGAGAUCAUGUGACUUGUGUCUCUACAACUAUUGUAUACUUGGAUUUUGCACAGUCAAGCAAUCCUGAAGAGGUUCACCAGGAAGCACACCAUUUCAUAAAUCAUGUCCCUGGUUACACAAUGUUACUAAAGGAUGGGGGGAAAAAUAUGUGCAGCAACAUAAGCACUCUCAUAAAACAUAAUUAUGAACAACAGAAAAUAUGUGAGGGUCAGGGCAACAUUGUUGACAUUAAACGAGGUCCUAAUAGGAGUGGAGAAACAAGGUCACAGAGAAGUUAAGAAACAUUGAUGUGCUGUGUAAUAAAGCUAUUGGAGAGAGAAGUUAGAAAACACUCUUAUAUGAUUUGUAACGAGAGGUUAAAA
rnacentral:lncRNA from 1 species